UUUCCUCCUAGAAUGUUAAGCAGUAGCAAAACUUUGGAGAGGCCACAAUGUUGAAUGUUUAGAAAUGUGUUGAAUGCUUUGAGUGGUUGGAAAUACUAAAAAGAUGCUCUACAAAUGGUCCAUUCACCUAACCUUUGAGUCUGUCUUUAGGUUGUCAGAGUCCACCAUCACCAAACAGCCAGCUAGUACGGAAACUGUGAUAGGUCAAGAUGACAGUGAUAAGAAGAUCGAAGAGCAACUGAAGAGGAAGUUCGAAGAGGAACAUAAGGGACAUUGGUGUAGCAUGGUGCUGGGUUCAGAGCCACUGUGAGCUGUUCCAUGGAGAGGUGACAGAGCCUGAAUUUCUUCAGAUGGACGAAGAAAAACAGUCUAAUAUAAUCAAAGACUACCUGAAAGGAGAGACUGAGAAAGCAAGGGAUGCCUGUGUGUUUGCCUUUGACUAUCGCGAGGAUAUGUAAACAUUCUUAUUAAAAUGUGUUGAUGAACAGGGGCUGAAAGUCAAUACCAUGUUUCUGGGAGUUAUUUAAUUUAUAAUAAUUUAUUUACUCUACAUUGUUGAAUAUUAUUGUUUUGUGAAAUAAAUAUAACAAUACCCAGUGAAACAA